GAUGAACGCUGGCGGCGUGCUUAAUACAUGCAAGUCGAACGAAGAGCUUUGUAGCAAUACGGAGCUUCUUAGUGGCGAACGGGUGCGUAACGCGUUGGUGACCUGCCCCGAAGUGUGGAAUAACAGUUCGAAAGGACUGCUAAUGCCGCAUGUGGUUCUCCGGGUUAGAGGCUGGAGUUCUAAAGCAGUAAUGCGCUUCGGGAGGGACCUGCGUCCCAUCAGCUAGUUGGUGAGGUAAUGGCCCACCAAGGCUACGACGGGUAGGGGACCUGAGAGGGUGGUCCCCCACACUGGCACUGAAACACGGGCCAGACACCUACGGGUGGCAGCAGUAGGGAAUAUUGGGCAAUGGGCGAAAGCCUGACCCAGCAACGCCGCGUGCAUGAUGAAGGUCUUCGGAUCGUAAAAUGCUUUUCUGAGAGAUGAGAAAGGACAGUAUCUCAGGAAUAAGUCUCGGCUAACUACGUGCCAGCCGCCGCGGUAAGAC
rnacentral:rRNA from 1 species